rnacentral:rRNA from 1 species
UACGUAGGGGGCAAGCGUUGUCCGGAAUCAUUGGGCGUAAAGCGCGCGUAGGCGGCCCGGUAAGUCCGCUGUAAAAGUCCAGGGCUCAACCCUGGAAAGCCGGUGGAUACUGUCGGGCUAGAGUCCGGAAGAGGCGAGUGGAAUUCCUGGUGUAGCGGUGGAAUGCGCAGAUAUCAGGAGGAACACCGAUGGCGAAGGCAGCUCGCUGGGACGGUGACUGACGCUGAGGCCGCGAAAGCGUGGGGAGCGAACAGG